rnacentral:rRNA from 2 species
GGCCGCGGGAAUUCGAUUGGAUCGCCCUUAGAGUUUGAUCAUGGCUCAGAACGAACGCUGGCGGCGCGUUUUAAGCAUGCAAGUCGAGCGGCAAGGGCCUUCGGGCCCCUAGAGCGGCGGACGGGUGAGUAACACGUGGACAAUCUGCCCCCCGGCCGGGGAUAGCCCAGGGAAACCUGGAUUAAUACCGGAUGAGACGGGACCCGCGAUGGCGGGAUCCGGGAAAGGCGCUACGGCGCCGCCGGGGGAUGAGUCUGCGUCCCAUUAGCUAGACGGCGGGGUAACGGCCCACCGUGGCGACGAUGGGUAGCCGGCCUGAGAGGGUGGACGGCCACAUUGGAACUGAGACACGGUCCAGACUCCUACGGGAGGCAGCAGCUAAGAAUCUUCCGCAAUGGGCGAAAGCCUGACGGAGCGACGCCGCGUGAACGAAGAAGGCCGUGAGGUUGUAAAGUUCUUUUCGGGAGGGGGAACAACCGUGGCAGGGAAUGGCCGCGGGAUGACGUGAAUCCCGGAAUAAGCCCCGGCUAACUACGUGCCAGCAGCCGCGGUAACACGUAGGGGGCGAGCGUUGUUCGGAAUCAUUGGGCGUAAAGGGCGUGCAGGCGGCCCUGCAAGUCCGGCGUGAAAGACCCCGGCCCAACCGGGGGGACGCGCUGGAAACUGCAGGGCUUGAAUACAGGAGGGGAUGCCGGAAUUCCAGGUGUAGGGGUGAAAUCUGUAGAUAUCUGGAAGAACACCAAUGGCGAAGGCAGGCAUCUGGCCAUGUAU